GAUGAACGCUGGCGGCGUGCCUAAUACAUGCAAGUCGAGCGAACAGAUGAGGAGCUUGCUCCUCUGACGUUAGCGGCGGACGGGUGAGUAACACGUGGAUAACCUACCUAUAAGACUGGGAUAACUUCGGGAAACCGGAGCUAAUACCGGAUAAUAUAUUGAACCGCAUGGUUCAAUAGUGAAAGACGGUUUUGCUGUCACUUAUAGAUGGAUCCGCGCCGCAUUAGCUAGUUGGUAAGGUAACGGCUUACCAAGGCAACGAUGCGUAGCCGACCUGAGAGGGUGAUCGGCCACACUGGAACUGAGACACGGUCCAGACUCCUACGGGAGGCAGCAGUAGGGAAUAUUCCGCAAUGGGCGAAAGCCUGACGGAGCAACGCCGCGUGAGUGAUGAAGGUCUUCGGAUCGUAAAACUCUGUUAUUAGGGAAGAAAAAAUGUGUAAGUAACUAUGCACGUCUUGACGGUACCUAAUCAGAAAGCCACGGCUAACUACGUG
rnacentral:rRNA from 1 species